UAGGGAAUAUUGGACAAUGGGUGAGAGCCUGAUCCAGCCAUGCCGCGUGCAGGAAGAAGGCGUUAUGCGUUGUAAACUGCUUUUUGCUAGGGGAUAAAAUGACCGUGCGCGGUUAAUUGAAGGUACCUGGUGAAUAAGCCACGGCUAACUACGUGCCAGCAGCCGCGGUAAUACGUAGGUGGCAAGCGUUGUCCGGAUUUAUUGGGUUUAAAGGGUGCGUAGGUGGCCCUGUAAGUCAGUGGUGAAAUAUCUCAGCUUAACUGAGAGGGUGCCAUUGAUACUGCAGGGCUUGAGUACAGAUGAGGUAGGCGGAAUUGACGGUGUAGCGGUGAAAUGCAUAGAUAUCGUCAAGAACACCGAUAGCGAAGGCAGCUUACCAAGCUGUAACUGACACUGAGGCACGAAAGUGUGGGGAUCAAACAGGAUUAGAUACCCUUGUAGUCCCUGAGCGGGCUGGCAAGGCGCAU
rnacentral:rRNA from 1 species